AGGCGGUUUUCGUCUCAGAUGAGAGGCGCGAGGGGGCCGUGGCACUGUCCCGCGGCUAAACGCAGAGGGUGAAAAGCCCCGGGGGUAAAAGCUGCUGCUGUGGUCCCCCGACGGGGUACUUGCCCUGGGUUCGGCAGCCUUCCAAGUCACGUUUACUGCCCAGGUGAAAACGCACGUGGGCUUUUUGGGAGGAUGAGCUCCGGAGGUAUCGGGGCGGGGGCGGUGGUGUCUGGGCUCAAGUUGUUGGUAUCACUCCCGAGAGGACGGAGGACGACAGGCCAUGUGAGCAGAGCCAAUUCGGCAGCCCAGUCCCCUGCUGAGGGAGUGGGGCUGGAGGCUAGAAGGCAGGACAGGGUGCACGGGACAUCUACAGUUUGCUUUUGAAGCACCUGCCCAUUUCUUUGAGGUACCAACCAUCUUUUGUCCCAGCUAAAGUGACAAACACAAUAGCGUCAAGAGUGGUUUUCAGCCUGCAUUUAGCUUCGAAGAUGCUUCCAUUUCGAGCCUGAGGAGGGUGUAUGUGAAUGAAAAGCAUUGGUACUGCUUCUUCCAGAUACACUUGCUACUGAAAGCUAAAAUAAUUUACUGCCUUGUAGAGAAGACAUCUGAAGCUGAAGUCAGUCUGCAGGUGGGAAAUCAUUCUCCAGACCAGUGAUGUUCAGCAGGGACUGCCACCCUGAGAGAUGAACAGGACUUUCAAGGUCAGACAGCAAAUCGACAAUGUAGGGGGAAUAUUCAUCCAGCAGGAACCUGUACCCUGCUGCAGUUUGCAUGCUCUGAAUCACAUCACAGAUUGUUAAAAGCUAUAAAAACUGACUUUGCUUCUCUCUCUGCAGAAGUUUGCAGUUCAAGAAUCUCUUUGAAAGCAUGAUGUAUAAGAAAGCUGCUGCCUCCCCAUCACUUCAGCACUUGUACCUUGACAGUCACCUCCUGAUAUUCCUUUCUGGUGGGAUUUUUCUCCUCCAUCUCUAGGAGAGCUUUUUUUUUUUUUUUCCCUUUUAUUCUUUUUUUUUUUUCCCCCACCAGGACAGAAACCCCAAGGAGCACUGGCUGGAGUGAGCUGCUGCCAGUGCUUGCCUCGGUGAUGGGCACAGGAGCAGCCAUGGCUGCUGCAGGAGUGGGGGUGGCCACGUUGGGACAGUAAGUGGCACGGGCCUGGUGCAAGGGCUCAGGCUUUGGGUUUGCCAUGCUUGAACAUCCCUCCAGGGCAGGGGAGUGGAGGUUCACGCUGUAAGGCUAUAUUAAUGAAAUCCUUCUUUACUUGUUUUCCAAUUAGCCUAAUUGAAUUCGGAUUGCUUAAAAGUGGGCACCAGAGACAUUUAUCUUGAUGGGAUGACGGCCUUGAGCUCCAGCGAUCCUAUUAACUGUAAGAACCCAAAUCCCAGGUAGGGCAGGUCCAGCAGUAGCUCCCAUGUGACCUAAUGCCUUUAAUCUGCUCCUCUUCCGUGCAGCUCACACACACACGUGCACAUACAGCCAUGUACUCAUAUGCACACAUGCGCACAGGUGCAUGCACAUAUAUACACGUGGAUUUGCACACACAUGCACAAAACACAUAUACACAUGCACACACAGACAUGCAUGCACAUGCAGUAUCUAACUCUUUAGGUUCCAGCAGCCUUAAGAGAAAGAUUAUUUAGUGAAAGACCUUGGAGAAAUACCUUACUUUAUUGUCCUUAUGAGUUCACAGAAUCAAAAUCCCAGACUCACAGACCAGUUGGGGUGGGCAGGCAGCUCCUGGUCCCCCAGCCCAGCAGCCCCCCAAGCAGGGUGCCCAGCCCCACGGCCUGGCAGCUGCUGGAGACCUCCCCGAGGAGCCCCCAGCCCCUCUCUGGGCUGCGGCACCGCCCGGCACAGGAGUGCGGCCUAGCGGGCAGGGGGAGCCGCUGGGGCUCCACUACAGGGCUGCCGCUGCGCCUGGACAUGGGCAACUCUGACAGAAGCCUGCUUUUUCAUUGCAUCAUCUCUUCAGGUAUUUAUGUAGAUAGGUGUCUUUAUACACACUGAUGUAUUUAUAUACAUCUAUUUAUAUUAAUUGAGUCAAAUUGGUGUUAGCAUGCUGCUUGCCGGCCCUCUGUGCUCCAGGCUCCCGUGAAUCGUCUCCAGGGCUAAGCCUGAUGAGCUGUGGGGAGGCCUCAGUGCUGAGGCCCUGCGAAUGGUUCACCCCUGAGAAAUGCUGCACCCCUGAGGUUGAUGGCAGUGCCCAGCUCUGAGGGAUCCCUGCACUCCAGAGGCCACACUGGCUGCUUGGGGAUGGGGGCAGCUGGGAGUGGUGCAGGCCCUGCCGUCUCUGGGGUCUGCUGGUUUCACCCCAAGCCUGCUGCCCUUGCCCACGGGUCACUGGGAGCUUUCUGUGGUGGAGGUGCCACCUGGCAGUGGUGGUCCUGGGGUGCUGGCUGUCAUGGUUGGGCACUGUCAACCCCUCCAUCCUGCCUGCAGCCCAGCAGGGCCUCAGCACCACUUCUGCUGCCUGCCACCACCACUCCUGCCUUCUAAAAUAAGCACGUGGCUCCUCCAGACAGUGCCCGGGGCAGCUUCCUGAAUCCCCAAACAAUUGUGGGAGCCAGGGCAGCUUUUACCUCAUAGUUCUGCAGCUGCUGUGGGAGGAUGGGGACAGCUGGUGCCAGAGGGAUGAGCUGCACCGUGCUGCCCGGGGUCAGCCAGCAGGGCAGAUUUGCGGCCAGGCCCUGGCCAUCAUGCUGACCCACACAGAGCUGCUGGGGCGCUUUGGUGCAGUGGCGCUGGCCCCACCAGCCCAAGGCACACCCAGUGCCAGCCCGGGAGCAGGCGCAAGCCCUGGCAGCCCAGGGAGACACCAGUUGGAGCGGAGGCCAUGCCAGACUGAGAGUUUUUACAUCUACAACACUAAAAAUGGUGCCAAUGGCAGCCCAGGCUGCUCCAGCAGCAGAUCAGAUUGGCUGUGGCCAGCACCAGGGCCAGGCAGCGUCCCCUGCCAUGGACGGGGUCCCUGAUCCAUCCCGCGCCAGCCCCCAGCCACCUCCCAGCCCCGCUUGCCUCUGCUAACCCUGAUUUUUUUUUUUUUUUUUUGAAUCUUGUUAAUCACUUGUUUGGUGAUUCUGACUGUACUUUCUUCUCUGACCCUUUAAACCGUGAAAAUGCUGAUCCUAUAUGUGCUGACGAACUUAAUUAGCUCCUUUAAACCACCAGAUGCUUUCAAUAAGAUUUUCUGGAUGUCCCAGGCACAUUUUAAUUCAAAGGUCAAAAGUCUUAGACUUGUUUACUGUGGUGUUUUAGAGAUAAAAUAAUUCACCCUGUAAAGUAACAGAACAGUGUGGAGACACCUACCAGCUUUAUAUAAAUACAGAGGGAAGCAUGUUUUCUUGGGGACUGCAGUGGGGGAAAUGUUUAAUAACAGGCUUUAAAACAA